GUGCUUGCUUCAGCAGCAUAUAUACUAAAAUUGGAAUAAUAUAGAGAUUAGCAUGGCCCCUGUGCAAGGAUGACAUGCAAAUUCAUGAAGCAUUCCACAUUUUU
ensembl:snRNA U6 U6 spliceosomal RNA